UUAAUAAUUCACCUUCAACGCUUCUAAAACUGAAGAGAAGAGAAAGAAUAUUAAUGAACACGGUUAAAGAUCAAGUUUUGCGCAGAUGCUUUGGACGCAUGAUUAUGAAAAGACUAUUUCUCUUUUGUCUAACAGAAUGCUUGUGUCUGGUACAUGUUAUUUUUUUUCUUGUUCUUCUACAAUUACAGAUGUGGAGCUGUCACCAGGACCGUGCACUGGAAGAUAAUCCCACAUUGCCUUUCGCCACCAUACCUGAACUUUUCCCUGACCCGGGCAGAGACAUACAGAGUCGAGUGGGAAGUUAUUUUGGGUUCAAAAACAAGGAGAACAUGGAAAGCAGAGGCCCUGAGCUGCGAGCAGGAGUUAGAUGCGCAGACCUCUGGAUGAUGGCCAGACGGCGGUCCAUAUCUUCCCACAAUGUUGACACUCGAAGCUCUUAACAGCCAGGCUUGGGUUACCGAUACACUCAGCCGAAAAUAACUCUUUCUGCGAGGUUUACACCGACCAACAUGAAGGCUAAUGCGAAAUUCAACGCCUUAAGCUGACUUGGAACAAUCUCUCAUGGAUGCAGAAGGACUAGGACGGCCGUAAUUGUUUGCGUAAAGGUGGUUGUAAUAAAGCAAAUUGAAUUUU